rnacentral:rRNA from 1 species
AGCAGCCGCGGUAAUUCCAGCUCCAAUAGCGUAUAUUAAAGUUGUUGCAGUUAAAAAGCUCGUAGUUGAACUUCGGGGUUUACUCAUUGGUCAGGCUUAAUUGUCUGUACUGGUGAGAUGAAUCUCUACCUUCUGAGGAACUUUCAUGCCAUUUAUUUGGUGCGAUUGGAAAUCAGGACUGUUACUUUGAAAAAAUUAGAGUGUUUAAAGCAGGCUAACGUCUGAAUACAUUAGCAUGGAAUAAUGAAAUAGGACGGAUUGAUUCUAUUUCGUUGGUUUCUAGGGUCACCGUAAUGAUUAAUAGGGAUAGUUGGGGGCAUUAGUAUUCAAUUGUCAGAGGUGAAAUUCUUGGAUUUAUUGAAGACUAACUACUGCGAAAGCAUUUGCCAAGGAUGUUUUCAUUAAUCAAGAACGAAAGUUAGGGGAUCGAAGACGAUCAGAUACCGUCGUAGUCUUAACCAUAAACUAUGCCGACUAGGGAUCGGAUGAUGUUAAUUUUUUAAUUGUACUCAUUCGGUCC